AUCUCUUCCCUAAGUAGGCCUGAGUCAGUGAAGAGCUUUGGAGGGCGGGACUGAAUGAGGUUUAAUCUGAGGAUGCGAUUGCUGACCAUUUGCACUUUGGCAUGGCCCAUCCCCUAAUUUCUGACCAGAAGCCCUCCCUGUACCCUAAGCUCGUGCGUCACGACGCCGCCAGCUGAUCGGAGCCUGGAGCCGGUGUGUGCUGGGCGCCGAGAAGAGACAGCGCCGCCGGCCGUGGGGAGAGGACGCAGUGAUUUGCUCCCCUCUGCGCAGCAACCCCCACACCCAGCACCAGGCCCCCAGAACUCUCCUUCCAGCUGAACUCCCUGGGAACAAGUCAUUUGGGCUGAUGCCUGAACUCAUAUUUCUGGACCUGAGGAGCCUGUUCCUCUCACACCCUCACCUGGCUGAGCCGCAGUAG
rnacentral:lncRNA from 1 species